CACAGCUCCUAACUUACAAAGGCUUACAGACUCUACCUCCCUCCAGGGUUCUUUUUCUUCAAGUAGCACUAAAAAAGACCCCACACUCACCUUCCAAUCAUGCUUGCCUCUUAAUAUUUCCAAUCUUCUUCCUCAACCUAAUACUAACCACUCCCUAUCUCACUCCUGCACUGAAACUUUAGAGGAACCAUUACCUCAUUCUACACACGUACAGGAGGGCACAUUGCCUCAAGUCAUUUACACCUGGUAUACAGAUGGAAGCUCCAGAAAAGCCAUAGUGUCCGACACGGAGGUGGUGGAGGCACAGGCCCUUCCUGCUCACGCAACUAAUCAACAGGCUGAACCCGUAUCUUUCAACUGGCACAGACUUUCACCUAUGUGCACUGAGGACACAGAUAGGAUAAAAGCCAUCUCUGAUCAUGGGGACCUUGAACCCCAUAGUGGGGAAUGGCAAGUGUAGGCAUGAACAAAACUGAGACAACAUCACUGCCAUAUGCUGAAACCCACCAGCUUGCUUUCUCUUAGUUUCAUGAUGAACCCUCCUGACCUGCUCUUCUCUGGUUCAACAAUGAAAUCAAUGGCGUCAUCAGAUCUUAAAGGAG